CUAGGUCUUAGUUAAUAAUUGUUUUUAUAUUUUCAACUUAUACCCCAUUGAAAAACCCAACAGCCAAGCGGCUGGGUUUAAUUAUGGUAGUCCAACAGAUUUUUUUUUAUUAGUUUUUAUUUUAAUCCUAAUUUUUAAUCUAUCUUGAUUUAUAUAUCCAAGUUGUUGUUGUAAAUAAUAACUAGUCAUGAAUGGCCUAGAGGAGAGAGGGUAGUUUCUAGGUCUUUAGUGGAGUGGGUUCAAUACCCACAUUUGUAGCAUUUUUUUUUCUUUUAGCAUUUUAUUUCUUUUAGCAUUUUUUAUGUUUAUGUUUU
rnacentral:lncRNA from 1 species